AUGUCUGGUGCAUCUUCGAAACUCAAGUAUGCAAAUUUUAUCUCAAUCUCUUCUUCUACUCAACUUCUUCUCGUUUGUGAUUUCUUUUGUGUUUUAAACGUGUUCUUGUCUGAUAUCAUUGUUGUGUUAUUUGUUAUUGCAGAAAAGACAAACGAAGAUGUUGUGGAGGUGAUGAGGUUCGAGAAUGUUGCAGGAGAGCUCAAGUAUUUGAGUGGAAUUUAA